rnacentral:rRNA from 1 species
AGGGUUUGAUCCUGGCUCAGAACGAACGCUGGCGGCGUGGAUAAGACAUGCAAGUCGAGCGAUGAUCCAACGAUAGCAAUAUUGGAGGGGAUAGCGGCGAACGGGUGAGUAACACGUAGGAAUCUGCCCUGAAGUUCGGAAUAGCCCGUCGAGAGACGGGAUAAUACCGGAUGUGAUCUUCGGAUUAAAGGCUUCGGCCGCUUUGGGAUGAGCCUGCGCUCCAUCAGCUUGUUGGUAGGGUAAAAGCCUACCAAGGCGAGGACGGAUAGCUGGUCUGAGAGGACGGCCAGCCACAAUGGAACUGAGACACGGUCCAUACACCUACGGGUGGCAGCAGUCGAGAAUCAUUCACAAUGGGCGAAAGCCUGAUGGUGCGACGCCGCGUGGGGGAUGAAGGCCUUCGGGUCGUAAACCCCUGUCGGUUGCGAGUAAGGCCCGGCUUACGUCGGGAUUGAUAUUAGCAACAAAGGAAGGGGCGGCUAACUCCGUGCCAGCAGCCGCGGUAAUACGGAGGCCCCAAGCGUUGUUCGGAUUUACUGGGCGUAAAGCGUGCGUAGGCGGCGAGGUAAGUUUGGCGUGAAAGCCCCGGGCCCAACCCGGGAAAUGCGCUGAAAACUACUUCACUAGAGGUGUGGAGGGGAGUCUGGAAUUCCUGGUGUAGCAGUGAAAUGCGUAGAUAUCAGGAGGAACAUCAGUGGCGAAGGCGAGACUCUGGAAACAUUCUGACGCUGAGGUACGAAGGCUAGGGGAGCGAAGAGGAUUAGAUACCCUCGUAGUCCUAGCAGUAAACGGUGUGCACUUGCUGUGGGGGGAUUCGACCCCUUCCGUGGCGAAGCUAACGCAUUAAGUGCACCGCCUGGGGAGUACGGCCGCAAGGUUAAAACUCAAAGAAAUUGACGGGGGCCUGCACAAGCGGUGGAGCAUGUGGCUUAAUUCGAUGCAACGCGAAGAACCUUACCUGGGCUUGACAUGUUUGUCGUACCUGAGUGAAAGCUCGGGGUCAGUUCGGCUGGACAAUCACAGGUGCUGCAUGGCUGUCGUCAGCUCGUGUCGUGAGAUGUUGGUUUAAGUACCGCAACGAGCGCAACCCCUAUGUCCUGUUGCCACGGAGAACACGUUUCUCCAGCACUCUGGACAGACUGCCCCAUUUUUAGUGGGGUGGAAGGUGGGGAUGACGUCAAGUCAGUAUGGCCCUUACGCACAGGGCUGCACACGUGCUACAAUGCCCGGCACAAUGGGAAGCGAAAUCGCGAGAUGGAGCCAAUCCCCAAUACCGGGCCCAGUUCGGAUUGGAGUCUGCAACUCGACUCCAUGAAGUUGGAAUCGCUAGUAACGGCGCAUCAGCUACGGCGCCGUGAAUACGUUCCCAGGCCUUGUACACACCGCCCGUCACAUCAUGAAAGCCGGGAGCGCCCGAAGUCCGCGAUUACGCGGCCGACGGUGAACUUGGUGAUUGGGAUGAAGUCGUAACAAGGUAGCCG